rnacentral:rRNA from 1 species
AUGGCUCCCGUGUCGGCUCUGGCCAAGUACAAGCUGGUCUUCCUCGGCGACCAGUCCGUCGGCAAGACCAGCAUCAUCACCCGCUUCAUGUACGACAAGUUCGACAACACCUACCAGGCUACGAUUGGUAUUGAUUUCCUGUCGAAGACAAUGUACCUUGAAGAUAGAACUGUGAGACUCCAACUCUGGGAUACAGCUGGUCAGGAAAGAUUCAGGAGUUUAAUUCCAAGCUACAUCAGAGACUCUUCAGUUGCUGUUAUUGUAUUCGAUGUUGCAAGCAGGCAGUCUUUCUUAAACACGUCGAAGUGGAUAGAGGAAGUUCGCACUGAGAGGGGCAGUGAUGUCAUUAUUGUGCUUGUUGGGAACAAAACUGACCUUGUGGACAAGAGGCAAGUAUCCAUUGAGGAAGGGGAAGGCAAGGCAAAGGACCUCGGUGUGAUGUUUAUUGAAACUAGUGCUAAAGCUGGUUUUAACAUUAAGGCUCUGUUCCGCAAAAUUGCUGCUGCACUGCCUGGAAUGGAGACCCUUUCAUCAGCAAAGCAGGAAGACAUGGUUGAUGUGAACUUAAAGUCCAGCAAUGCUAACUCAUCUCAGUCGCAGGCACAGGCUGGGGGAUGCAGUUGUUAG